rnacentral:rRNA from 1 species
GACGAACGCUGGCGGCGUGCUUAACACAUGCAAGUCGAACGGAAAGGCCCUGCUUUUGUGGGGUGCUCGAGUGGCGAACGGGUGAGUAACACGUGAGUAACCUGCCCUUGACUUUGGGAUAACUUCAGGAAACUGGGGCUAAUACCGGAUAGGAGCUCCUGCUGCAUGGUGGGGGUUGGAAAGUUUCGGCGGUUGGGGAUGGACUCGCGGCUUAUCAGCUUGUUGGUGGGGUAGUGGCUUACCAAGGCUUUGACGGGUAGCCGGCCUGAGAGGGUGACCGGCCACAUUGGGACUGAGAUACGGCCCAGACUCCUACGGGAGGCAGCAGUGGGGAAUAUUGCACAAUGGGCGGAAGCCUGAUGCAGCAACGCCGCGUGCGGGAUGACGACCUUCGGGUUGUAAACCGCUUUCGCCUGUGACGAAGCGUGAGUGACGGUAAUGUGUAAAGAAGCACCGGCUAACUACGUG